rnacentral:rRNA from 1 species
CGCACAAGCGGUGGAGCAUGUGGUUUAAUUCGAAGCUACGCGAAGAACCUUACCAGGUCUUGACAUACUAUGCAAAUCUAAGAGAUUAGACGUUCCCUUCGGGGACAUGGAUACAGGUGGUGCAUGGUUGUCGUCAGCUCGUGUCGUGAGAUGUUGGGUUAAGUCCCGCAACGAGCGCAACCCUUAUUAUCAGUUGCCAGCAUCAAGUUGGGCACUCUGGUGAGACUGCCGGUGACAAACCGGAGGAAGGUGGGGAUGACGUCAAAUCAUCAUGCCCCUUAUGACCUGGGCUACACACGUGCUACAAUGGAUGGUACAACGAGUUGCGAACUCGCGAGAGUAAGCUAAUCUCUUAAAGCCAUUCUCAGUUCGGAUUGUAGGCUGCAACUCGCCUACAUGAAGUCGGAAUCGCUAGUAAUCGCGGAUCAGCAUGCCGCGGUGAAUACGUUCCCGGGCCUUGUACACACCGCCCGUCACACCAUGAGAGUUUGUAACACCCAAAGUCGGUGGGGUAACCUUUUAGGAACCAGCCGCCUAAGGUGGGACAGAUGAUUAGGGUGAAGUCGUAACAAGGUAACC